CACAGCACGCGGUAGCAGAGGUGCUGCGAUACGCUGUGUAGUAUCAUAUCACAGUUCUUUGCUACCUCGUGCUUCGCA
rfam:Ascaris suum AG00017, whole genome shotgun sequence.